rnacentral:tRNA from 2 species
CGGGAUGUAGCGCAGCUUGGUAGCGCAUCGCAUUUGGGAUGCGAGGGUCGCAGGUUCAAAUCCUGUCAUCCCGA